rnacentral:rRNA from 1 species
UACAGAGGGGGCAAGCGUUGUUCGGAAUUACUGGGCGUAAAGGGCGCGUAGGCGGCCUUCUAAGUCGAACGUGAAAUCCCCGGGCUCAACCCGGGAACUGCGUCCGAUACUGGAAGGCUUGAAUCCGGGAGAGGGAUGCGGAAUUCCAGGUGUAGCGGUGAAAUGCGUAGAUAUCAGGAGGAACACCCGUAGCGAAGGCGGCACUCUGGGCCGAUACUGACACUGAGGAGCGAAAGCGUGGGGAGCGAACAGG